rnacentral:rRNA from 1 species
AUUGAACGCUGGCGGCAGGCCUAACACAUGCAAGUCGAACGAGUGGCGGACGGGUGAGUAAGGUCUGGGAAACUGCCCGAUGGAGGGGGAUAACUACUGGAAACGGUAGCUAAUACCGCAUACCAUCGGAUGUGCCCGUAUGGCAUUAGCUAGUAGGUGGGGUAACGACUCACAUAGGAGACGAUCCCUAGCUGGUCUGAGAGGAUGACCAGCCACACUGGAACUGAGCCACGGUCCAUAAUCCGACGGGAGGCAGCAGUGGGGAAGAUUGCACAAUUGGCGCAAGCCUGAUGCAGACAUUCCGCGGGUAUGAAGAAGGCCUUCGGGUUGUAAAGUACGUGCAGCGAGGAGGCGUUACUCGCAGAAGAAGCACCGGCUAACUCCGUGCCAGCAGCCGCGGUAAUUC